rnacentral:lncRNA from 1 species
AAUUAGACAAAGUCUGUAAGUGCGGUUGAGGUAAAACAAAUAGCAGGAAAUGAACGAGACAAUAAAUUUGUUAACGAAGUUCAGUUUUUCCUAUUCCCUGGGACCAAGUCCAAAUUCGACUUCACUAGACCAAGAAAGCAAAUUACAACCUAUUCGCAAACGUGUAAAACAAGCACAUCCCUCUUGAUUUACCGCUCCCUUCUAUUAAAGUGAAACUUUAAGGAUAAUCUCUACUCUUAACUAAACUCCCUCUAAGUCUAGAUUUAAUCAGGAUAACCUAACCCUGAGCUAAACUCGCCAUGAAACUAGACUUCAAUUCUACAAGUCUCUGAAACAACCUUCACACACCACCAAACAAACUUGAUCACACAAACACCAACACCGCAAAACUACGUCACACAAAAUCUCACAGAAAGCUCUCAAAGGUUUCUUCUUUAUGCUUCAGCUCUCUUGCCUCUCCAAGACGUCUUAGCUCCUCCUUAUAUAGCCAAAACGAUUGGCUAAUCACCAUAGGAGAAGAUUUCUUUUUUCCAUAAGAAAAAGUAAAUUUUCUUUUUACAAUUUUCUUUUUUCUCAUGAAACUUCACUUUCAUGAAGUCUUCCAAAUAUCUUUAA